rnacentral:rRNA from 1 species
GUACGUGAAACCGUUCAGGGGUAAACCUGAGAAACCCAAAAGAUCGAAUGGGGAGAUUCAUCGUCAACGGUGCUGGCUUCCGUUUGUGCGCGAUGCUCCGAAUGGGCUCUCGUGGUUCCAUGGCGAGGGCACGCCACUUUCGGCCUGAACGUUCCGGCACCGUAGUCGUGCACUUCUCCCCUAGUAGAACGUCGCGACCCGUCGCGUGUCGGUCUACGGCCCGAGCGGGCGCCUGUCGCGGCGCAUUUCGCGCACGCGGUAGACCCUCGGUUGCCCGGCCGGCUGCGCGACGGUACUCACACGGUAUCGGGCCGCAACCAAUCCAUUCUCGAAUGUGUGUGCGUCAGGCCCGCCGCAAGCUCGGGCAGUUUUACCCGGAGGUACGGACCUGGUGCCGUCCCCGGGCCUGACCAGCUGUUAGCAGGCGGUGUCCUCGGACCGGCCAAGCUUCGAAUUACCGGUCGGCGACGCUCCUGCUUUGGGUACUCUCAGGACCCGUCUUGAAACACGGACCAAGGAGUCUAACAUGUGCGCGAGUCAUUGGGAUGCAUAAACCUAAAGGCGCAAUGAAAGUGAAGGUCGGCCUACGCGUCGACCUAGGGAGGAUGGGCCGCGUUACGAUGCGGCCCCGCACUCCCGGGGCGUUUCGUUCUCAUUGCGAGAAGAGGCGCACCUAGAGCGUACACGUUGGGACCGA